UACGUAGGGUGCGAGCGUUGUCCGGAAUUAUUGGGCGUAAAGGGCUCGUAGGCGGUUUGUCGCGUCGGGAGUGAAAACCCAGGGCUUAACUCUGGGCUUGCUUUCGAUACGGGCAGACUAGAGGUAUGCAGGGGAGAACGGAAUUCCUGGUGUAGCGGAGAAAUGCGCAGAUAUCAGGAGGAACACCGGUGGCGAAGGCGGUUCUCUGGGCAUUACCUGACGCUGAGGAGCGAAAGUGUGGGGAGCGAACAGG
rnacentral:rRNA from 1 species